CGGGGAAAAGAAACCAACAGGGAUUGCCUCAGUAACGGCGAGUGAAGCGGCAACAGCUCAAAUUUGAAAUCUGGAGCCUUCGGCUUCCGAGUUGUAAUUUGAAGAGGAUGUUUCGGUGCGACCUGGGCCUAAGUUCCUUGGAACAGGACGUCAUGGAGGGUGAGAAUCCCGUACAUGGCUGCAGGUUUGCUUCUAUGUGAAACUCCUUCGAAGAGUCGAGUUGUUUGGGAAUGCAGCUCAAAAUGGGUGGUAAAUUUCAUCUAAAGCUAAAUAUUGGCGGGAGACCGAUAGCGCACAAGUAGAGUGAUCGAAAGAUGAAAAGCACUUUGAAAAGAGAGUUAAACAGUACGUGAAAUUGUUGAAAGGGAAGCGCUUGCAAUCAGACUCGCCUUCAGCUGAUCAGCCUUCCUUCUGGUUGGUGCACUCUGCUGUUGGCGGGCCAGCAUCAGUUGGGGCGGUGGGACAAAGGCGGCAGGAAUGUGGCUCGCUUCGGCGAGCGUUAUAGCCUGCUGCGCCAUGCCACCAGUCCCGACUGAGGUCCGCGGUUCGCCUAGGAUGCUGGCUUAAUGGUUGUAAGCGACCCGUCUUGAAACACGGACCAAGGAGUCUAACAUCUAUGCGAGUCUUUGGGUGUAAAACCCAUGGGCGGAAUGAAAGUGAACGGAGGUGGGAGUCUUCGGAUGCACCAUCGACCGAUCCUGAUGUUCUCGGAUGGAUUUGAGUAUGAGCAUAGCUGUUGGGACCCGAAAGAUGGUGAACUAUGCCUGAAUAGGGUGAAGCCAGAGGAAACUCUGGUGGAGGCUCGCAGCGGUUCUGACGUGCAAAUCGAUCGUCAAAUUUGGGUAUAGGGGCGAAAGACUAAUCGAACCAUCUAGUAGCUGGUUCCU
rnacentral:rRNA from 1 species